GCCCUCUGGCUCCGAGAGCUGCUUCUCCUGUUUCAAUUUCCAUGUCCUCUCCAUGUUGUAACUCAAGGAGCUCCUCUGGCUUAGGAACAGCUGACGACCCAGCCAGAUCUCUGCCGAGGCACCUGGAACAGGGGCGAUGGGCACUGACGUUCAGGAAUGCUCUGGGGUACCCUGUCCUGGCUGCCAUGCCUCACUGGAAGGUUUCUACACAAGUAUUUCUAAGGAGAAGUGCUUGAACUACAAGGACCCAGCUGAGAGGGAAGUCCAGAACACAGUGCCUGGAGUGACAGAGGACAUGAUUAUUAAUCUGAGAGAAAGAGGAAGGGAGAGAGACAGAAAGAAAAACAUCCACCAGUUGCCUCCUGCAUGAACCCCAAGCAGGGAUCGAACCACAACCUUUUGGUGUACAGGAUGAUGAUCCAACGAACCGAGCCAUCCAACCAGGGCCCAACACACAUUCUUCUGACCUUUGCACAUGCUUCCCAUCACUGGCCCCCUGAGAGCAGGAGUAUCUCUCCCUACUCAGAGAGCCAGGCAUGAAGCACAGAGCCUCUGGCUCCCGAGUUGUUCAUCUUUUAUAUCCUGUUCCCCUGGGUGCUGAGCAAGAUCUGAUUGCCCAGGAAGCUACAUGUCAUUGCUCUGCCACUGGCCCUCGGAUUGACUUUGCUGCCACUUCCCAGUGGCUAGGAUGAAAUGCCACCUAGAAGCUGGAUGAAGGCAGCCUUUACUGUUGGUAUCACCUCCAGUAGCCACUAUCUCAGAUUCUCACCUAGAAGGCCUAAAGAGAAGCACACAAGACCAUUACUGGCAUUUUCAGGAAUUAAAGAUUAAUAGAAAGGAACUCAUUGUCCUAAAUCCUCUGUUGGGUAUGAGAUUUAGGAAAUUCCCUUCUUGAGAUUAUUGGUGAGGCUAAGUUUCCGGUGACCUAAUGUAAUUGGCCUAUUAUCUGGGAACUUUGAGCUGAGUUGUCAGAAAGAGACAUUUAAGGACUUUAAACCCAGGAAUGGAUUAUAAGCACUGGUGAGUUCUUAUGUCAGGAGAGCCUUGAAAACAGAGGUGGAUAUGAUGAAUCUGAGCAGUUGGGUGCUGUCCUGUCUGAAGUAAAAGAAUAACUCAAGGUUAUUUGAGAGUCUUUGCUGCACUUCGAUUUUGCAAAAUCUUCACUUCUAUUUGUCAACCUACAGCCUGAAGAUGAAGAAGUUACAGUCUUGGUGUUUCAACUUUUCCAGAACACCAAGGAAUAUCCUGCAGGUAUUCUAUAAACAGGGCCCUCUGGUGUUAUGGCAUAUCCCAAUGCUACACUAGAUUGGAUAUUUACAACCAUUAUGAAGCUGGAACCCCUGUCACUUAUUUGAUUAGUAUCUUUGCCAAGUGCUUCAUGUAAAGUACAUAUAUAUUUCAUUUAUUAAAGCAAAUAAUAAUUGAUUAUGUUGUGAGGAUUUUGCUAGAUCACUUAAGAAAAUUGGAGGCCCGUGGAAAUUGUCACAGGGGAUAGUCUGCAUUUAACCAUUCUUUGUAUGUUAGAAUCUGAGACCAUAAAGCCAGAAGUCAUAGAGACUGGUAUUUGAGUUUACUGAAGCUCAUAUAAGGAGAGAAACAAGUCAUUGUGUCACCAGGCACAUUAAAAACUGUGUGAUUACUUUCACCCAAAAUCGUAGGCACAUUGAACACUUU